rnacentral:tRNA from 1 species
GCAGUGGUGGUUCAGUGGUAGAAUUCUAGCCUUCUGUGCAGGGGACCUGGGUUCUAUUCCCAGCCUGUGCA